AAGUCGUAACAAGGUCUCCGUAGGUGAACCUGCGGAGGGAUCAUUAUCGAGUGAGGGCCUCCGGCCCGACCUCCAACCCUUUUGUGAUUCAGACCGUGUUGCCUCGGGGCGACCCGGACGUUUCGGCGUCGGGGCCCCCGGUGGACCCCCUUCAAACACUGCAUUGUUGCGUCGGUUUAUUUGAUGAAUCAAUCAAAAACUUUCAACAACGGAUCUCUUGGUUCUGGCAUCGAUGAAGAACGCAGCGAAAUGCGAUAAGUAAUGUGAAUUGCAGAAUUCAGUGAAUCAUCGAAUCUUUGAACGCACAUUGCGCCCUUUGGUAUUCCGAGGGGCAUGCCCGUUCGAGCGUCAUUUCACCACUCAAGCCCGGCUUGGUGUUGGGUCCCGGUGACCCGCGACCUCAAAUGUCUCGCGGCUGGAACGGACCCGUAACCUCAGCGUUGUGGAACAUCAAGCUCGCUGCAGAAGGGUGGCCCAGCGCCGUCAAACAUCUCACUUACAGGUUGACCUCGGAUCAGGUAGGGAUACCCGCUGAACUUAA
rnacentral:rRNA from 1 species